CAUCCCACAUAAAGUAGAGGAAGAUUGGCAUAGAUGUUAGCUCAGUGCCAAUCUUCACUGCCCCCUCCCCAAAACAUGUAAAAAAAAAAAGUUUAAGAGUUUCACAAUUCCAGGCAGCAUUGGUGCAUUACAGGUAGAAGUCACAACUCAUAUGUGACUGAAGUUCAUGUCACUAUGGGAAUUGUAUUACUUUUAUUUUCCUUUUCUGACAUUCUUCUGCCUAUUUACUGUGUCUGCCUCUCUAUCAUUCCUUGGGCCCCAAUAUGAUUACAUCUAGCCCAUGUUUUACUUUCCUCAAUAUGAUACGGCUUUAUUCAAUAUCUUGGGUAGAUCUGCAUAUUAUCAACUUAACUCUUGACUUCUUUUCAGUACCAGUAGCAGACUGAGAGGAUGCACUUUAGAGUUGUAUGUUCUGGAUUUGUACGAGAUUAAAAACUUUAGGGAUAAAAUUGUAGGGGGUUCUACCUCAUGUGUUUGAAAAUAAAUGAUUUGGAUGAAGGAUUCACACUGAGAAAUCAUACUCUACCAUUGAAAAAUAAUCUUAUUAGGUCAUAUUUAAAUAUGCUAACAAAGGGAGAUUUUAGCUUAAAAAAGAUGAGGUGAGAAAGAGUUUUGAGAAUGAAUCUAUUAGUUAUAAGAUCCACUGCUAUAUAAACUCUUAAAAGUAGGGAAAGCUGUGAGGAUUUUAACACCUUCUGGCAUAGUGCCAGUUGUCCACCCUGCAAAAUCUACUUACUCUUCCUCCUGGGAGUAUGGUCACACAACUAGAGACUACUUUAUCCAAGCUCCUUUGCUGCAAAUGCCAUAGGACAAAGUUCCUUGCCAGGAAACAUGAGGGGAAGUGAGGUGUGCAACUUUGCCCUCACUUUCUUGCUCUGGGCUUACCUCCUUUUCACGUCCUGUGAGCUGGAGCACAGACAUAUUCGAGACCGAGCUGGACCGUGGGAGGAGGACCAUGCCCUAGGACGUGGUAGAGCAACAAGAUACAAGAACACGGUCCCUUGAUAACUGAGUGGAGUGGAACCACUCUACCAACCUGGCUGCUCGACUGGAAGCGUGCAUCUACUUUUUUAAUCCAUUGUAUUUCAGAGUAUCUUUAAUACAGAAGCAGAUUUGUCAUCUAAAUUAUGAUACUUUAUGGACAAAUACCUCAAUCCAAGAAAAAAUAUUAAGGCAAGAUGUUAAAUAAUUUUGAUAAUAAGGUGAGGACUAGUAAGAAAGGCUUUAAGUUAUGUUCAUGUUUAUAUUUUUAUAUCUUUAUUCCUUUCUCCAUACUGUUUGCUGCCCCCAGGAGACCAGCCUGCAUGGAUUAUAGAAACAGACUUUCUUGCCCUCUGAUUUCUGGUUGGGUUUGACCAGUAGGGAGUCUUGGCAAGUGAUGAGAGGUUCCCGCUAGAGCACCGAUGAAGAGAUUCUCACCUUUGGAAACAGAAGCGUAAGUAAAACAGUUUUUAUUAACCUAAAAUUCAUGUUGAUUAAUUUGCCACACAGGCAUUCAUAAUAUGCAAAGGCUGAUGAGUUCCUGACAGCAAAGGAAUUAUAGUUAUAAUGCUCCCCCCAAAAAGGAAACUGUUAUUCACAUGUUUUAUGAUUUAAAAUUUUUAUUUUUCCAUAAUGCAGUGAAUUAAAUUCAGCCAUCAUUUACUGAAGUCUGUUGCCUGGGGGCUUGGAACAUUCUUGAUAUUUAGCAAGCAGGAAAACUAAACUAAAAUUGUGACUUAUGAAUAAUGAAACAGACAAAUCUGCUCUCUCUGGUGAGAUGGAAAUAAAUAUUGUACACCUUUCCAAAUAUUUGUUUAUUUGUCCAUUUUAGUCACUCUUGCCCACAGGAUUAAGUUUUUUUCCCUCCUCUCUUUUUAAAUGGAAAUGACUAGAAGGUGGUCCCAGUUGAGAAAUGUAUUUUUAGAAAUACUGAGGUUUUUAUUCCCUUAGUAAGCAUUGUUGGCUGUUUGCAGUUAUAUAUCUCUUUUAAUAAAAAA